GACGGAGCACGUGAAAUUCCGUCGGAAUCUGGGAGGACCAUCUCCUAAGGCUAAAUACUCUCUAGUGACCGAUAGUGAACCAGUACCGUGAGGGAAAGGUGAAAAGCACCCCGGAAGGGGAGUGAAAUAGAACCUGAAACCGUGUGCUUACAAGUAGUCAGAGCCCGUUAAUGGGUGAUGGCGUGCCUUUUGUAGAAUGAACCGGCGAGUUACGAUUUGAUGCAAGGUUAAGCAGUAAAUGUGGAGCCGUAGCGAAAGCGAGUCUGAAUAGGGCGUUUAGUAUUUGGUCGUAGACCCGAAACCAGGUGAUCUACCCUUGGUCAGGUUGAAGUUCAGGUAACACUGAAUGGAGGACCGAACCGACUUACGUUGAAAAGUGAGCGGAUGAACUGAGGGUAGCGGAGAAAUUCCAAUCGAACCUGGAGAUAGCUGGUUCUCUCCGAAAUAGCUUUAGGGCUAGCCUCAAGUGAUGAUUAUUGGAGGUAGAGCACUGUUUGGACGAGGGGCCCCUCUCGGGUUACCGAAUUCAGACAAACUCCGAAUGCCAAUUAAUUUAACUUGGGAGUCAGAACAUGGGUGAUAAGGUCCGUGUUCGAAAGGGAAACAGCCCAGACCACCAGCUAAGGUCCCAAAAUAUAUGUUAAGUGGAAAAGGAUGUGGCGUUGCCCAGACAACUAGGAUGUUGGCUUAGAAGCAGCCAUCAUUUAAAGAGUGCGUAAUAGCUCACUAGUCGAGUGACACUGCGCCGAAAAUGUACCGGGGCUAAACAUAUUACCGAAGCUGUGGAUUGUCCUUUGGACAAUGGUAGGAGAGCGUUCUAAGGGCGUUGAAGCAUGAUCGUAAGGACAUGUGGAGCGCUUAGAAGUGAGAAUGCCGGUGUGAGUAGCGAAAGACGGGUGAGAAUCCCGUCCACCGAUUGACUAAGGUUUCCAGAGGAAGGCUCGUCCGCUCUGGGUUAGUCGGGUCCUAAGCUGAGGCCGACAGGCGUAGGCGAUGGAUAACAGGUUGAUAUUCCUGUACCACCUAUAAUCGUUUUAAUCGAUGGGGGGACGCAGUAGGAUAGGCGAAGCGUGCGAUUGGAUUGCACGUCUAAGCAGUAAGGCUGAGUAUUAGGCAAAUCCGGUACUCGUUAAGGCUGAGCUGUGAUGGGGAGAAGACAUUGUGUCUUCGAGUCGUUGAUUUCACACUGCCGAGAAAAGCCUCUAGAUAGAAAAUAGGUGCCCGUACCGCAAACCGACACAGGUAGUCAAGAUGAGAAUUCUAAGGUGAGCGAGCGAACUCUCGUUAAGGAACUCGGCAAAAUGACCCCGUAACUUCGGGAGAAGGGGUGCUCUUUAGGGUUAACGCCCAGAAGAGCCGCAGUGAAUAGGCCCAAGCGACUGUUUAUCAAAAACACAGGUCUCUGCUAAACCGUAAGGUGAUGUAUAGGGGCUGACGCCUGCCCGGUGCUGGAAGGUUAAGAGGAGUGGUUAGCUUCUGCGAAGCUACGAAUCGAAGCCCCAGUAAACGGCGGCCGUAACUAUAACGGUCCUAAGGUAGCGAAAUUCCUUGUCGGGUAAGUUCCGACCCGCACGAAAGGCGUAACGAUUUGGGCACUGUCUCAACGAGAGACUCGGUGAAAUCAUAGUACCUGUGAAGAUGCAGGUUACCCGCGACAGGACGGAAAGACCCCGUGGAGCUUUACUGUAGCCUGAUAUUGAAAUUCGGCACAGCUUGUACAGGAUAGGUAGGAGCCUUUGAAACGUGAGCGCUAGCUUACGUGGAGGCGCUGGUGGGAUACUACCCUAGCUGUGUUGGCUUUCUAACCCGCACCACUUAUCGUGGUGGGAGACAGUGUCAGGCGGGCAGUUUGACUGGGGCGGUCGCCUCCUAAAAGGUAACGGAGGCGCUCAAAGGUUCCCUCAGAAUGGUUGGAAAUCAUUCAUAGAGUGUAAAGGCAUAAGGGAGCUUGACUGCGAGACCUACAAGUCGAGCAGGGUCGAAAGACGGACUUAGUGAUCCGGUGGUUCCGCAUGGAAGGGCCAUCGCUCAACGGAUAAAAGCUACCCCGGGGAUAACAGGCUUAUCUCCCCCAAGAGUUCACAUCGACGGGGAGGUUUGGCACCUCGAUGUCGGCUCAUCGCAUCCUGGGGCUGUAGUCGGUCCCAAGGGUUGGGCUGUUCGCCCAUUAAAGCGGUACGCGAGCUGGGUUCAGAACGUCGUGAGACAGUUCGGUCCCUAUCCGUCGUGGGCGUAGGAAAUUUGAGAGGAGCUGUCCUUAGUACGAGAGGACCGGGAUGGACAUACCUCUGGUGUACCAGUUGUCGUGCCAACGGCAUAGCUGGGUAGCUAUGUGUGGACGGGAUAAGUGCUGAAAGCAUCUAAGCAUGAAGCCCCCCUCAAGAUGAGAUUUCCCAACUUCGGUUAUAAGAUCCCUCAAAGAUGAUGAGGUUAAUAGGUUCGAGGUGGAAGCAUGGUGACAUGUGGAGCUGACGAAUACUAAUCGAUCGAAGACUUAAUCAA
rnacentral:rRNA from 1 species